rnacentral:rRNA from 1 species
GAGUGGCGCACGGCUGAGGACCACGUGGGUAUCUGCCUCGGUGUGGGGGACAACGGCCCGAAAGGGACGCUAAUCCCGCAUACGCUCUUCGGAGGAAAGCAAUCGCGCACUGAGAUGAGCCUGCGGCCCAUCAGGUAGUUGGUGUGGUAAUGGCGCACCAAGCCGAUGGCGGGUACCUGGUCUGAGAGGACGACCAGGCAGACUGGGACUGAGACACGGCCCAGACUCCUACGGGAGGCAGCAGCAAGGAAUUUUCCGCAAUGGGCGCAAGCCUGACGGAGCAACGCCGCGUUGCCGGAAGACGGCCUUCGGGUUGUAAACGGCCUUUCGGUGGGAAGAUAAUGACCGGUACCACCGGAAUAAGCCCCGGCUAACUCCGUGCCAGCAGCCGCGGUAAUAACGGAGGGGGCAAGCGUUGUCCGGACUUACUGGGCGUAAAGCGUGCGUAGGCGGUGGCUUGCGUCACUACUGAAAACGCCGGGCUUAACCCGGCGCGGUGUGGUGAUACGAGGUCACUGGAGGCAGACAGAGGGUUGGCGGAAUUCCGGGUGUAGUGCUGAAAUGCGUAGAGCUCCGGAGGAACGUCGGUGGCGAAGGCGGCCACCUGGGUCUGACCUGACGCUGAGGCACGAAAGCGUGGGGAGCGAACCGGAUUAGAUACCCGGGUAGUCCACGCGGUAAACGAAUGUCCGGUCGGUGUGUGGCAGUGCGAAGGAGCACUGCGGCGUGCCCAAGUUCACACGGGUAAGCGAACCGCCUGGGGACUACGAGGCGCAAGCUUAAAACUCAAAGGAAUUGACGGGGGCCCGCACAAGCAGGCGGAGCGUGUGGUUUAAUUCGACGCUACGCGAAGUACCUUACCCAGAUUUGACAUGCAACUGCAAGCGCACAGAGAUGUCUGACCUUCGAGGGUUUUGCACAGGUGAUGCAUGGCUGUCGUCAGCUCGUGUCAUUAGAUGUUGGGUUAAGUCCCGCAACGAGCGCAACCCUCGCCGGUAGUUACAAGUGUCUACCGGGACUGUCCUUCGGGGAGGAAGGCGGGGAUGACGUCAAGUCCGCAUGGCCCUUACGUCUGGGGCGACACACACGCUACAAUGGUAUCGACAAUGCGUAGCCAACCAGCAAUGGUGCGCUAAUCGCCAAACGAUAUCCCAGUGCAGAUUGGGGGCUG